ACACACACACACACACACACACACACCACAAAACAGUGAGAAGCCUGAGCAGACAGAAGACGUCAUUGCUCAGGAGGGGAGACUGAUCAGCAAGAAUUUAAACUGCUUCAGCACGACUUGAACUUCCAACAACAUACAGAGUAGUUUGGGGUGACUGCUUGCCUAGUUUAUGUUUGUAAAGCUGUUUUAUAGAUCUA